rnacentral:rRNA from 1 species
AACGAACGCUGGCGGCACGCCUAACACAUGCAAGUCGAGCGGUAACAUGGUGUGUAGCAAUACACACUGAUGACGAGCGGCGGACGGGUGAGGAACACGUAGGAACCUGCCCAAAAGAGGGGGAUAACCAAGGGAAACUUUGGCUAAUACCGCGUAAUCUCGAGAGAGAAAAGCUGCCGCAAGGUGGCGCUUUUGGAGGGGCCUGCGUCCGAUUAGCUAGUUGGUGAGGUAAUAGCUCACCAAGGCGAUGAUCGGUAACUGGUCUGAGAGGACGACCAGUCACACUGGGACUGAGACACGGCCCAGACUCCUACGGGAGGCAGCAGUGGGGAAUAUUGGACAAUGGGGGCAACCCUGAUCCAGCGAUGCCGCGUGAGUGAAGAAGGCCUUCGGGUCGUAAAGCUCUUUAGGUUGGGAAGAAGGUUGUGGGAGGAAAUGCCUGCAGCUUGACGGUACCGACAGAAUAAGCACCGGCAAACUCUGUGCCAGCCGCCGCGGUAA